rnacentral:rRNA from 1 species
CCUACGGGAGGCAGCAGUGAGGAAUAUUGGUCAAUGGGCGAGAGCCUGAACCAGCCAAGUCGCGUGAAGGAUGACGGCCCUACGGGUUGUAAACUUCUUUUGUCAGGGAGCAAUUGGGUCCACGCGUGGGCUUAGCGAGAGUACCUGAAGAAAAAGCAUCGGCUAACUCCGUGCCAGCAGCCGCGGUAAUACGGAGGAUGCGAGCGUUAUCCGAAUUUAUUGGGUUUAAAGGGUGCGUAGGCGGAAUAUCAAGUCAGCGGUAAAAAUUCGGGGCUCAACCCCGUCGUGCCGUUGAAACUGAUGUUCUGGAGUGGGCGAGAAGUAUGCGGAAUGCGUGGUGUAGCGGUGAAAUGCAUAGAUAUCACGCAGAACUCCGAUUGCGAAGGCAGCAUACCGGCGCCCAACUGACGCUGAAGCACGAAAGCGUGGGUAUCGAACAGGAUUAGAUACCCGAGUAGUC